rnacentral:rRNA from 1 species
CGUAGGGUGCAAGCGUUAUCCGGAAUUAUUGGGCGUAAAGAGCUCGUAGGCGGUCUGUCGCGUCUGCUGUGAAAACCCGAGGCUCAACCUCGGGCCUGCAGUGGGUACGGGUAGACUAGAGUGCGGUAGGGGAGAUUGGAAUUCCUGGUGUAGCGGUGGAAUGCGCAGAUAUCAGGAGGAACACCGAUGGCGAAGGCAGAUCUCUGGGCCGUAACUGACGCUGAGGAGCGAAAGCGUGGGGAGCGAACAGGAUUAGAUACCCUGGUAGUCCACGCCGUAAACGUUGGGAACUAGAUGUGGGGUCCAUUCCACGGAUUCCGUGUCACAGCUAACGCAUUAAGUUCCCCGCCUGGGGAGUACGGCCGCAAGGCUA